AUAAAAAACCAACGCCCUUCGGGGCUCCUUGGUGAAUCAUAAUAACUUAACGAAUCGCAUGGCCUUGCGCCGGCGAUAGUUCAUUCAAAUUUCUGCCCUAUCAACUUUCGAUGGUAGGAUAGUGGCCUACCAUGGUGGCAACGGGUAACGGGGAAUUAGGGUUCGAUUCCGGAGAGGGAGCCUGAGAAACGGCUACCACACCCAAGGAAGGCAGCAGGCGCGCAAAUUACCCAAUCCCGAUACGGGGAGGUAGUGACAAUAAAUACUGAUACGGGGCUCUUUUGGGUCUCGUAAUUGGAAUGAGAACAAUUUAAAUCCCUUAACGAGGAACAAUUGGAGGGCAAGUCUGGUGCCAGCAGCCGCGGUAAUUCCAGCUCCAAUAGCGUAUAUUAAAGUUGUUGCAGUUAAAAAGCUCGUAGUUGAACCUUGGGUCUGGCUGGCCGGUCCGCCUCACCGCGAAUACUGGUCCGGCUGGACCUUUCCUUCUGGGGAACCUCAUGGCCUUCACUGGCUGUGG
rnacentral:rRNA from 1 species